GAAAAACAAUGAAAUAGAAGACCUUAUCAACACUACUGACACUGCAAAAUUUUUCCAUCAAGUCAGCAGGAUGGAAAAUUCAAUGGAUGUACCAGUACUAAAAAUCAGGCCGACUUAUAACUCUAUUCCAAACUUCAUUCCAUGGGAGAUAAAUCUGUCUAAUAUUGGGGUAUUACGAAAUCAGGGAUUCCAAUCCGGUUACGUGUUGUUCUACAAAUAAAUAAACAAUAUCAGACUGAACUUAGCCUUGCAUCCGAUAUAAUUCCCUGUACUGACAAGACAAUCUGGAUAAAUUCCAAUGUUGAUGGAGUGUUAAUGAAAGCCAAACGUAAAGGAAAUAAUCUCAAAACAAUAUCUACCUUAAACAUCAAGGUCUUCGGCAUGACAGUUACUGCUUCUCGUGACAUUUUGCUGGCUACUGGGGAACCAAAAAUACAACAAAUCAGCAAUAUCAGUGGUAGACUAGAAGCUACAGUAUAUGAUAUUUCACCUUUAAUAUGUACAACCAUACAUAUGACAAGCAACAAUAAAGUCAUAGUAGGAGCUUUUGAUAAUGAUGACAGAAAUGUAAUGAUUGUAAUGAAUAAAAAAAGAGAACACGAGACUAAGUAUGAACAUGACCAACAUAAACAACCUUUGUUUUCCUAUAUCCAGAGUAUAACCACUACCAAGAAUGGAAAUAUACAUGUGGCCGAUUGUCAUCGACAUAUUGACAGAGGAAAAGUCGUGGUCUUAUGACUGGGAGGCGUAACUACCAAUACAUAUGCAGGACAUACAUAUGUAAACAAGGACACACCAUUCAAACCAGUCAAAAUAGUAACAACACCCAGAGACAAUGUCAUUGUGAUUGAUAUAGAUACUGAUACCUUACAUAUACUGGACAACAAUGGACAUUUACUCUCAUUCAAUGAAACAAGGAGCAUAGGAAUAAUAUAUCUAGGUUCCUUUGCUUUCGCACAAACAGGACGACUUUUCAUAGGAUGUAGUAAAUCGGUUCACAAUGAAGCCAAGGAAGCAAAGAUAUAUGAAAUGUUUAUAUCAGACUGUUAAAAGAUUCACACUUUGUCUUAGAAAGUUUGAAGAAGAAGUAUCACAUGACUGGAGUGUAAAUAAAAAAACCUGUGAAAGACCAUAAGAUGAUCAGUCUAAAAUAAUGAACAUAAGCUACAAGACGAAAAGUUUACCAUCAAUUUUUACGAAUAAAACAAGGUUUAACGAUUAUGAUAACAUAAUGUCAUAUGAUAUGGUAAAUUUACAAUUUACAUUGUGUAACAUAUUUUUGUAAGCUUUAUACAUGUAAAUCUAAUUUUUACUCGACUGUGACAUUAUGAACUUAAAGGUAAGAAAUCCGACUCAGCAUGUCGGUCUAGUUAACAUGACUGUUCUAAAUAUGCAUUUAAUUUGUCACUGGACGUUAAACAUUCAUCAUACACCGAUUUUUUUUUUUUACUAUUAAAAAAAUGUGCCUGUACAAUUCAAAUAUAAUGCAGUGCUUUUCACAAUUGAACUUGUAAUAUAUAUAUAUAUAUUUAGGGCAACCGAAGAUUGUGACAUUUUGACUGAGUGUUGGUUCGCAUGGCGGUUGAUGCAUUCAAAACAGUGAUUCAUUGGUGAUGUUAUCAUGGGUUGCACUGUUUGGUGAAAUUCAUUAUACACAAUUGCUGCAAUGAAUUAUUCCAACUCUAAUAGGAAAAUACAUAAUGUGUUUGUGUUCAAAGCGGACCUAUUAGAUAUCUUAAAAGUGUCAACAAUCAUGUUUUGGUGAAGCAAACAACUUUGUAAAAAGCAAAUGUUUCAUGACGUGUACAAAUACAUAUAUAUACAUA